ensembl:misc_RNA Y_RNA Y RNA
AGCUGCUCUGAAGGUAGUGAGUUAUCUCAGUUGAUUGUUCACAGUCAGUUACAGAUUGAACUCCUUGUUCUACUCUUUUCCCCGUUCUCACUAUUGCACUUGAAUAGUCUUAA